GCGGGGAUAGCUCAGUUGGGAGAGCGUCAGACUGAAGUUCAACUUCUGUCCAAUAAUCUGAAGGUCGUGCGUUCGAUCCGCACUCACCGCA